AUUGAACGCUGGCGGCAGGCCUAACACAUGCAAGUCGAGCGGAUGAAGGGAGCUUGCUCCUGGAUUCAGCGGCGGACGGGUGAGUAAUGCCUAGGAAUCUGCCUGGUAGUGGGGGAUAACGUCCGGAAACGGGCGCUAAUACCGCAUACGUCCUGAGGGAGAAAGUGUGGGAUCUUCGGACCUCACGCUAUCAGAUGAUCCUAGGUCGGAUUAGCUAGUUGGUGGGGUAAAGGCCUACCAAGGCGACGAUCCGUAACUGGUCUGAGAGGAUGAUCAGUCACACUGGAACUGAGACACGGUCCAGACUCCUACGGGAGGCAGCAGUGGGGAAUAUUGGACAAUGGGCGAAAGCCUGAUCCAGCCAUGCCGCGUGUGUGAAGAAGGUCUUCGGAUUGUAAAGCACUUUAAGUUGGGAGGAAGGGCAGUAAGUUAAUACCUUGCUGUUUUGACGUUACCAACAGAAUAAGCACCGGCUAACUUCGUG
rnacentral:rRNA from 1 species